rnacentral:tRNA from 1 species
GCCUCGAUAGCUCAGUCGGUAGAGCAGAGGAUUGAAAAUCCUCGUGUCGGUGGUUCGAUUCCAUUAUUUGGUGCG